rnacentral:rRNA from 1 species
GAUGAACGCUGGCGGCGUGCCUAAUACAUGCAAGUCGAACGAAACUUCUUUAUCACCGAGUGCUUGCACUCACCGAUAAAGAGUUGAGUGGCGAACGGGUGAGUAACACGUGGGCAGCCUGCCCAAAAGAGGGGGAUAACACUUGGAAACAGGUGCUAAUACCGCAUAACCAUAGUUACCGCAUGGUAACUAUGUAAAAGGUGGCUAUACUACCGCUUUUGGAUGGGCCCGCGGCGCAUUAGCUAGUUGGUGGGGUAAAGGCUUACCAAGGCAAUGAUGCGUAGCCGAAUUGAGAGGUUGAUCGGCCACAUUGGGACUGAGACACGGCCCAAACUCCUACGGGAGGCAGCAGUAGGGAAUCUUCCACAAUGGGCGAAAGCCUGAUGGAGCAACGCCGCGUGGGUGAAGAAGGUCUUCGGAUCGUAAAACCCUGUUGUUAGAGAAGAAAGUGCGUGAGAGUAACUGUUCACGUUUCGACGGUAUCUAACCAGAAAGCCACGGCUAACUACGUG